rnacentral:rRNA from 1 species
GAUGAACGCUGGCGGCGUGCCUAAUACAUGCAAGUCGAGCGAACAGACGAGGAGCUUGCUCCUCUGACGUUAGCGGCGGACGGGUGAGUAACACGUGGAUAACCUACCUAUAAGACUGGGAUAACUUCGGGAAACCGGAGCUAAUACCGGAUAAUAUAUUGAACCGCAUGGUUCAAUAGUGAAAGACGGUUUUGCUGUCACUUAUAGAUUGAUCCGCGCCGCAUUAGCUAGUUGGUAAGGUAACGGCUUACCAAGGCAACGAUGGGUAGCCGACCUGAGAGGGUGAUCGGCCACACUGGAACUGAGACACGGUCCAGACUCCUACGGGAGGCAGCAGUAGGGAAUCUUCCGCAAUGGGCGAAAGCCUGACGGAGCAACGCUGCGUGAGUGAUGAAGGUCUUCGGAUCGUAAAACUCUGUUAUUAGGGAAGAACAAAUGUGUAAGUAACUAUGCACGUCUUGACGGUACCGAAUCAAAAAGCCACGGCUAACUACGUG